rnacentral:rRNA from 1 species
UACGUAGGGUGCGAGCGUUAAUCGGAAUUACUGGGCGUAAAGCGUGCGCAGGCGGUUUUGUAAGCCAGAUGUGAAAUCCCCGGGCUUAACCUGGGAAUGGCAUUUGGGACUGCAAGGCUUGAGUGCGGCAGAGGAGACUGGAAUUCCUGGUGGUAGCGGUGAAAUGCGCAGAUAUCAGGAAGAACACCCGGUGGCAAGGCGGCUCUCUAGUACGGUACUGACGCUGAGACGCGAAAGCGUGGGGAGCGAACAGG